rnacentral:rRNA from 1 species
CCUACGGGAGGCAGCAGUGGGGGAUAUUGCACAAUGGGGGGAACCCUGAUGCAGCGACGCCGCGUGGGUGAAGAAGCGCCUCGGCGCGUAAAGCCCUGUCAGCAGGGAAGAAAAUGACGGUACCUGAAGAAGAAGCCCCGGCUAACUACGUGCCAGCAGCCGCGGUAAUACGUAGGGGGCAAGCGUUAUCCGGAUUUACUGGGUGGAAAGGGGGCGCAGACGGCGAUGCAAGCCAGGAGUGAAAGCCCGGGGCCCAACCCCGGGACUGCUCUUGGAACUGCGUGGCUGGAGUGCAGGAGGGGCAGGCGGAAUUCCUGGUAUAGCGGUGAAAUGCGUAGAUAUCAGGAGGAACACCGGUGGCGAAGGCGGCCUGCUGGACUGCAACUGACGUUGAGGCCCGAAAGCGUGGGGAGCAAACAGGAUUAGAUACCCCAGUAGUC